UUCUCCUUCUCUCACCAACGGAGUGGUAGCAGAGCAUGCUCAGCACCUGGGACAAAAAUGGCUUUUGCUCUCUUCAGAGGUUUAAUAUGCUUCCCUUGGACCUCCCUGGAGUUUGUCAGUACCACCAAGAGAAUGAAGGCUAAUCAUCUGACCACGCAGCGGUGGAGGAAGAAGACAAACCUAGGUACAUGGUCAGACAAGACAUGGAGGACGGCUGUGGAGAGGCUUAAAAAGCUUUGCCUUCUGAGCAGCUCAUUCUUCACUUUGGCAGAAUUUACCGAUUGUCCUUACAAGGGGAGGCAGUGGCAACUUCAAGGAGAGAGACAUCUUGGGACCUUGAAGCUGUUUAUCUUUUGAUUGACAGACUAAUAAUCCUGGGCAUGCCCUCAGCAAUCUCACCACAGCUGCACUGCCUUGGAAAAAGAGGAAAAGCUUCAGCAAGCUCAAAGCCAAAAAAAACCAAGAUAUAUUUGAGUUCUUUUCUUCCUUAGACAGGUCUUCCAAAUGAACUCACCAGUUCCUGGAACAUAUAUCCCAGCUUUUCCAUAGCAUUUUUGCUUUACAUACCAAGCAUCCUAAACACCACACAAACACCUGCCUAGGGAUAAGCAGAGCCCUUAGAGUUACCUCCUAUUAGCAGAGGUGUGUUCUUGACUCAGACAGUGACUGCAGCACAUAUGACUGGUAAGUCCAAAAGCAUCACAUCAUUCCUUAUUAAAACAAAGAUACUGCACUUAAAUUAGUCUUUAUAUUUGUGAUCUAGACUACUCAAAAUUGCUUGAUGAACUUCCUUAAUCUUCUGUUUCUAGGAUUACAUAAAAACUUCUGCAUUUCUAGAAGUUUUUACCGUGGUUACCACUAUGUGAGUGAAGUAGGAAUUAGCUGGAGAAGUGUUGGAACCCUAGAAAGAACCUAAUAUUCCAACAAAGAAUUUCUUGCAAAAAAUGUCUACUGGACUAGCUUGAAAAUACUGUUACAAUUUUUGAUGAAGGAACUCUUAGUUCUGUGAGGAAGGAGACAUGUCUGUAGCAGAAAGACUGCAAUUAUAUUCAGUACAAAACAGUUUACAGUGCUGAAAAACCCACUUCACAUGUGAUAUGAAAACACUUGAAAAAGUCCUUAGAAAACAGGUAAACAUGGACUGUGUGAGGGCACAGAGGCUAUAUAUGAGAUAAAAACUAUUCCCAUGCACAGAAGACAAACAAUAGGCAAGCAAAAAAAAGCUGGAUUUAGUGUCCUCCUGCUGGAGUCUGGGAUUUUCAGCCUGGCUUAUAACAUAAGUGAAAUGAGUUAAGUGGCCUGGUUGAUAUUCACUUCCAGUACUGAAUCAUAACACAAAUUGGUAUAAUCUGGAAUGACCUUACAAGCUAAAAUUGCAGAUAGCUAUUGCAGGGAAAUGGUGGACCUGAGAGCAGUUGAGUUUUGCAGAGCUGCCUGUGCACAACACAGUCCUGCUGUGGCUGUCUUUUUGCUCUCUAUCCCCACAUUUUGAAGAAGGAAAGAGAGAGCGAGAGAGAAUGAUAAAGACCACAAAUUGCAGACGGGUGACUGAAUUUUCAGCUAUACGCUUUCUCUUCAUGAGGAUUUGUGAGGGUUUCUUUUCACAUCAAAGAACAGAUCUACCCAUCUUGAUUCUGUGAAAAGGAGCAUAGCAGCAGAGGGUUGGCUUUGUGCAGCCUGCCCUCCCUCCUUUUCUGUCUCUCUUUGUUUACCAGACCUGACCAGGAAUACACUGUUUUUCUGACAGCCCGUGGGACCCAGCCAAGGAACACCAAAUCAAGUGCCUUUUCAGCUGACAGUAUAUUUCCCCCGCCCAUGGCAAUCUGAUCUACAAGAACAGUUUUUCCAAAGGACAUAAGCCACAUUUAUUUGGGAAUAAGAAACAAGAUUUUUUUCUAGCCCAACACAAAGAUGCCCUGUCACUCUCUGAGUAUCUCUGUCAGGGGUUUAUUUGCACACUAAUGUUACUCCCAUUAUAUAGGGCAGAGGUGAGCCAAAGAUCAAUCCAACCCAAGUUUAUGGAUGCAUGCUGCCAGCACUACAAGGAAUGACAGACAGUGCAGUCACACAGUGGGGGCCAAAACAAACUUUGUUGGGUUGGCAAGUAAAAGAAGUGAUACUCAGGAAUUACAAGAAAAACUAACCAUGCAGGCAAUAAACAAACAAACAAAACCCCAACCAAUCAACAAAAAACCAAACAAAAACCAACAAAACAAAAACAACCAAACAAAACAAAACAAAGGAAGCAACGAGCUUCAAUGUCUAUUAAAGAGAUGUACAUGCUUGCCACACCACCAUGGUAGACACUUUGUGUCCCUAGACAUAUGAAUGAGAGGGUUGGUGGACAAAGGCAGUGGAGAAUGGGUUAAAUAUAUUGUAUUUUCACAUACAUCCCAGCCCAGUUAGCAUUAAAUCUGCUGCUGCAAUUGCCCUGGCAAUGUGGAUACAAUCUGGUUUUUCAAGCUAGGAUAGGCACAAACAUUACAGAGAAAUGUGUUUGUGCAACAGAUUUCCAUUACAGUGGCUUCACCUUCUUCCUUUCUGAUUUGGGAAAAUAGCCUAUUCUCUCAGAUGCUCCUCAGCCCUGUACCCCAAGCUGACUGAGCACUUCAGUGCUCUCCCCUUCCUGCCGUCCCUGCUUUUCUUCAAGGCUGUGUCUAAUUGCUAUAGAACAAUGGGAAACAGACUUUAUUAUUAUUUUUGCAUUUGUCACAAUUUGUUUAAUUUAUUUAAGACUCCUACAUUCCACAAGGGUCUAGUCCUUAGUAAAUAUUGUUUAUUUCUUUAUCUCAGUUAUGAAUAAACACCAGCUUGUGAAUUAAGAAGGUGAUCCUAAAAAGCUAUCA